UAAUGAGUAAUUAAUGGGAUAAAAUACUGGAUCCCAUAAAACUUCUAAAUUAAGCAUUGCUUGGACAAGUGUAGUACUAGGAAGGGUGGCCCCCUAAGAAGUCUCUGUUGCAUCAC
rnacentral:rRNA from 1 species